CUUUGGGAACCAAAGCUCUGAUACCACUUGUCACGGGCUUAGAAUUCGAAUGCCUUGACCCGUGCGGCACUUAGUCGUUUUUGCCUACAAAAGUCGCUAAGUAAGCCUAGAACAACCGAAAGAAAGGCUAAGGAAACAAGUAAGCAACAAGAAGAAAGCUAGAGAGAGAAAUAUCUUGGAGAAUGCCUUGUAUUCUCAAAACCUUGGAU
rnacentral:lncRNA from 1 species